CAGUUCGGACUGAAGGCUGAAAUUCGCCUUCACGAAGUCGGAAUUGCUAGUAAUGGCAGGUCAGCAUACUGCCGUGAAUACGUUCCCGGGCCUUGUACACACCGCCCGUCACACCAUGAGAGUUAGGAAUACCCGAAGCCUGUGAGCUAACUUUUAGAGGCAGCAGUCGAAGGUAGAACUAAUGAUUGGGGUGAAGUCGUAACAAGGUACC
rnacentral:rRNA from 1 species